rnacentral:snoRNA from 14 species
UUAAGCAAAUUAAAAAAUAAACAACUAGAAAAGUCCUAUCAUCGCCUGCAUAUUCCUACGACUUCUCAGAGUCCUGUGGACCGUGACUGAGGAGACAAACCUGCAGGAAACAGUC